AGCAAGUUGAACUGACCAAAAUUUUUCCUAUAAAUUUACAUGACUGUUUCGAUCUAUUUUUGGUUAAACCAGUCAACUAGGUCAUUUUUUCUGGUUCACGCUAAAAGCAAGUUGUUAGAAGCCAAACUAUACUCCUUUGAAAACCAAAGGUAUCUGUGAAGAACUCAUUUCCAUUCUCCGUGAAGCACAAGGGAAAGAAUCGUGUCCAAGGGCCAAGAAAAAGCUAUUAUCCUCUGGCCUACUGAAGUGGGACUGUGAAAUAAUGAAACAAAUCUUUAAACAAAAUGGGACAUGGAUCUUUUCUCAGUUUUUACCAAGACCCAAAGCCAAAGGUCCAGGACCUCGACCAUCGCAAGUUUAAAUUCAAGCUUUAGAGACUGAAACCAAAGGAGAUACAGCUCAGAGGAACUUCAGAGGUGAGCCUGAA